UACGAAGGGGGCUAGCGUUGUUCGAAAUUACUGGGCGUAAAGCGCACGUAGGCGGAUCCUUAAGUCAGGGGUGAAAUCCCGAGGCUCAACCUCGGAACUGCCUUUGAUACUGGGGAUAUCGAGUCCGGGAGAGGUGAGUGGAACUGCGAGUGUAGAGGUGAAAUUCGUAGAUAUUCGCAAGAACACCAGUGGCGAAGGCGGCUCACUGGUCCGGUACUGACGCUGAGGUGCGAAAGCGUGGGGAGCAAACAGG
rnacentral:rRNA from 1 species